rnacentral:lncRNA from 1 species
AUAAAUAUAAUACCUUCAAAAUUUAUAUACCAUCUGUUUCACUUUGAAGACAUUUUUUAUUUUCUACCUUGUAUUAUGGCUACUUAGGUAUGGAUCUUGCCUCUGUCACUAGUCUUCAAGCUUCUUGAAGGCAAGGUCUUUGUCAUAAUUAUUUUCUGAAUCUCUUAUAAUAUCUGUCUCAGUGCCUUGCACAUACCAUUUCCUCAAUCAACAUUUGUUGAAUCAGGAUUGACAGAUUUUUUUUAAUCUUCUUCAUUUAAAAUAUUCAUAUAAUCUCUAGGUGGAUUUAUAUUCAUAUCAAGUAUGGUUCAUUUGUUCGUUUAUUAUUUUUUUACAUAUUCCACAAAUAUUCAUUGAUUUCAUACUUUGUACCAAACACUAUGUUAGGCUCUGGGAUAUAAAGACAAACAAGAUAAAUAAGAUCCUUUUCAGUCAGGACUGGUUGACCUUCCAAAAGAGAAUUUUGAAGCAUCUUACAAUGCUAUCACAUUGCCAGAAGAAUUUCAUGAUUUUGACACCCAAAAUAUGAAUGCUAUUGAUGUUUCAGAACACUUUACUCAGAA